GAUGAACGCUGGCGGCGUGCCUAAUACAUGCAAGUCGAGCGAACAGAUAAGGAGCUUGCUCCUUUGACGUUAGCGGCGGACGUGUGAGUAACACGUGGAUAACCUACCUAUAAGACUGGGAUAACUUCGGGAAACCGGAGCUAAUACCGGAUAACAUAUUGAACCGCAUGGUUCAAUAGUGAAAGGCGGCUUUGCUGUCACUUAUAGAGGGAUCCGCGCCGUAUUAGCUAGUUGGUAAGGUAACGGCUUACCAAGGCAACGAUACGUAGCCGACCUGAGAGGGUGAUCGGCCACACUGGAACUGAGACACGGUCCAGACUCCUACGGGAGGCAGCAGUAGGGAAUCUUCCGCAAUGGGCGAAAGCCUGACGGAGCAACGCCGCGUGAGUGAUGAAGGUCUUCGGAUCGUAAAACUCUGUUAUCAGGGAAGAACAAAUGUGUAAGUAACUGUGCACAUCUUGACGGUACCUGAUCAGAAAGCCACGGCUAACUACGUG
rnacentral:rRNA from 1 species